rnacentral:rRNA from 1 species
ACAGCAGUCGCCGCGGGAAUACGUAGGGUGCAAGCGUUAAUCGGAAUUACUGGGCGUAAAGCGUGCGCAGGCGGUUUGUUAAGACAGAUGUGAAAUCCCCGGGCUCAACCUGGGAACUGCAUUUGUGACUGGCAAGCUAGAGUCUGGCAGAGGGGGGUGGAAUUCCGCGUGUAGCAGUGAAAUGCGUAGAUAUGCGGAGGAACACCGAUGGCGAAGGCAGCCCCCUGGGCCAACACUGACGCUCAUGCACGAAAGCGUGGGGAGCAAACAGGAUUAGAUACCCCGGUAGUCCCUGUCUCUUAUAC